rnacentral:piRNA from 1 species
UCAAUCAAUGUCAAACACUAA